AAAUGGCAAAGUAAAUGAAUCGAAGUAAAAGCCUAGCUGCGACCUCCAAAUCAAUUACAGCAAUGGCGAGGAAGCAAAGCAGCAAAACUAUGUUGAUAUUCUUCCUUUUGCUUUCCCUUUUAGCUUUCCUUUCUUUCCUUCCCGUCUUCGCUUCUCUCCCUUCUCUUCCCUCUUACUCUCACUCUUACGAUCUUCACUUUCAUCUUCCUCGUCAUCAGCGUCUGCAUCGCCGCCAAAAGGUAAAGUAUCUUCUGACAACAAAUGCUUUAGCUAUACUUCAAAGUAGCUUUCAAAUUUAUAUUUAUUUUUUUAUAUGUGUGCUCCUUUUCUGUUUCGAAUUGAAGGGAAUUAGAUGUAUAAAUAGUUGAGUUCUGUUGCCUUUCCAAAGGAAGAAUUAAUGAUGAUACGAAGUUAUGAAAUUUUAGUUACUGACGUUGUUGUUUAUUUAUUUUCUUAAUCAUGAGAACAAUAUGAAAAUUAAGGAAGCAAAAAAUUUAAAAUUUUCACGGUAGCUGUUUUUUUUUUCUUCUUAUUUGGAUUUAAAUGUUGAAUGAUAUUCUUUUUUUGUGUUUGAUCGCAAGUCAGAUUGGUGUUAGAAAAUUUGAAAUUGCGGAGGAUAAGUUUUGGAAAGAUGGGAAGCCUUUUCAGAUAAUUGGUGGUGACUUGCAUUAUUUCCGGGUUCUUCCUGAGGUAUUUAUUCUUUCUGUUAGCACCUAGCAUCUUCCAGAACUAUUCGUUCUUGCUAUUGUUAUUUUAACUGGAUAAGCGGAAUUGAGAAGAUUGUGGAAAGGUUCUUAAGGUUUUCAGCAUUAAGAGGGUAUAAAAAAAAUAGUAAGUUCUGAUAUUGUUAGAAGUGGGGAGUUGGUUGUUCCUUUUAUCCAUAACUAUCCUACUAUCUUAUGGAUGCAGUACUGGGAAGAUAGGCUUUUGAGGGCAAAAGCAUUGGGGUUGAAUACCAUUCAAACAUAUAUUCCUUGGAAUUUGCAUGAACCAGAGGCUGGCAAACUUGUUUUUGAAGGCAUUGCAGAUUUGGUAUCAUUUCUCAAACUUUGCCAGAAACUAGGUCUCCUUGUUAUGCUUCGA
rnacentral:lncRNA from 1 species